rnacentral:lncRNA from 1 species
AGAACAAUUACAACUUUAAUUUUGAUUGUAAUUCCAGUUACAAUUAUAGUUAUAACUAUUAUUGUACUAUUACAAUAGUUGUAACAAUUACAGUUACAACUUAUAAUAAGAUCCAGCUACGAUGCAACGGGUGCACCAUGCCCCUCUUUUUGUUUUUUGUUCUAUUACCAUUGGAUCUAACACAAAAGUAGUUGGACUCUUCAAUUCAGCAAGUUUAGCGUCAUCUUUAAGCCUCACUCGGCCAUCAAAGCUCGACCUAUUACCUAAUUCUUAGCAGAAUUUGCCAAUGACUUUGGGGUGAGGGAAUCCUGGGAUAGCCGAGCAAGGUAAAAUCAGUGAUAGAAGAAGAAACAAGUAUGGAAAAUAUGUGUUAAUGCCUCUUCUAACUCACAUGGAAGUGGUGCAGAAGUAAUCAUCAUUAGCUCAGGCAAGGUGAAGUUGUGUUAUAUAAUGAAUUUGGAUUCAAAGCUUUAAAUAACGAAGCUGAAUAUGAAGUUAUCAUUGUUGGGUUGAGAAUGUGAAAAGCCUUGGGAGCAAAGAGAGACCAUAUUAAAAGUGAUUCUCAGUUGGUGGUUAGUCAAGUCGCUUCAAAGCAUCAAGUCAAAAAAGAGAAUACAAAGAGGUACCUUGGAAAACCAAUGAGUUGAUAUCUUAGUUCUGUGAAGUUAAUGUAGAAUGGGUACCAAGAAUGGAGAAUUGCAAAGCAAAUAAUUUGGCCAAGAUGUCCUUCUUUGGCGCAACUUAAUUAGUUGGUUCCAUUAUGGUAAAAUAUAUACCCACUCCUAGUGUUGUUCGUCUAGGCCGAAAAAGGUUAGAGAAACAUCCAUGGAGGAGUCUUGGAUGGAACCAAUCAUAGCUCAGAGAAAUGAGAGUUGCCUACGAACAAAGACGAAGCGAGAAAGUUGAAGUAUAAAGCUGCAUGUUACUACCUUAUCCAAGAGACUCAAUAUAGGAGAGGGUUUACCCUCUCAUAUUUGAAAUGCUUGGGAAGUAAUCAGGCCGAGUAUGUCAUGAGAGAGAUACAUGAGGGGAUUUGUGGCAAAUCAUUAUAGAGCAUGUCGCUAGCACAAAAAGCCUUUUGUUAGGGAUAUUAUCGGCCUAUAAUGUGGGAGGAUGAUAAGAAAAUGGUGAGAAGCUGUGUAAAAAUGCCAGAGAUUUGCUAAGGCACCCUAUCUACCCCUUGAGAAAUUAACAUGUUAUCUCUCUAAUCUUUUGCUAUUUGUAGUGUAGAUCUCAUUGGCACAAAGCCAACUAGAAGGGGGUAAGCGAAGUAUGUCAUUGUCACAAUAUAUUACUUUAUAAAACAGGCUAAAAUAGAACCGUUAACAAGUAUCACAAAAAAAAACCACCAAAUUCAUAUGAAAAUAUCUCAUCUAUAGGUUUGGCAUCCUCAGUGCCAUAAUUCAAUGACAAUGGAAAGUAGUUUAACAACAAGAGAUUCUGGAGUUUCUGUUCAAGACUUAGGAUAGCCAACCAUUUUGCUUCACCAGCUCACCUGCAACCAAUGGACAAGUGGAGACUAUCAACAAGAUCAUCAAGGGUAUCUUAAAAAAGAAGCUGGAGAAAAAGAAAAGAGCAUGGCUAGAUGAGUUACGCAGUAUCUUAUAGGCAUACCUAACUACCCAUAACGUAUCUAUUAGGGAGACACCAUUUUUUUUUUAUGUAUGGAAUCGAUGCAAAGAUUCCAAUAGAAAUUGGGAUACCCUCCUAGAGGACAACACACUUUGAUGAAAUAGAGCACACCUCUUUAGUUGCUUCUAAUCUCGACCUCAUAGUAGAGAAAAAGGCUAGAAUAUAGUUAAGGACAGUGCCAUACCAACACCACAUCUUGAGUAUGUAUGACAAGACGGUGCUCCCUAGAUCAUUCAAAGGAGAUUUAGUUUUAUGGAAGGUGACUGAGGACACCAAUGUAUGCUCUAAAGGUUCAUUUGAGAAGAACUGAAAAAGGCCAUACUGUGUGGAUAAGCCAGUUGGAUUUGGAGCCUACAAGCUACUUUACAUGGAUGGAAUGAUAUUGAAGCACAUGUGGAGUGCCACCAUGCUGAAGAAAUACUAUUAACGAUCGAACAAUGUUUUACUUCAUUUUGUUUAUUUUAUUUGUUUUCUUUAAUAUUUACGUGUUUUUAAUAUAUAGAAGGCCUAGUGGUCAAUUGCACUUUUUAAUUCCCUAAGUCUUUAAUGACAUAAUAAGAGAUUAUGGGAUCUCCCCUUCUCAUUAGGAUAACCAAACCUAAGUCAUAUAAUGAUCUAUAUUGCCAUUACCUAUGAAUAUAUUUGAUUUAUAAAACGUGAUAAUGUGUGCUCUUUGUACUCGUCUUUCAAUUAUGGAACGUGGAUGAAUGGUUUGAGAUACUAUUCAGCUUGAAUAUAAUCACCAUUAGUUUAACUUCGCGCCUAUUAUUGUACAAUGUUUAUUAUGACGCAACAUAAGUUCAAAGUAAGCUAAGAUUCCUAACCUAUCUUGAUCAUAAUGAUCUAUUCAAGGUCAAAGCUAGCAAAAAGUAUACAAAUAAAUAAUAAGCAACUUUUCAAAACGACUUUGAAAAUGUGGCUAUUUGAAGGAAGAGAAAGAAGGUCACAGAACACCCGAGGGCAGAGUAAGCAAUCAUACCUUAGCAUCAUAAGGUUCUUUUAAAGUAUGCACAUGCCCACACUCUGUGUUCUCUUGCUUAUGAAAAGUAAGAGAUAAAUAGUUUGAAAAAAAAUGACAACCACAAGACUUGGAUGUCCAAAGUAUAUAAUAAAAAAGGUAAGCGAGUAAACACUCAUAAUAUUACUUACUCUAUUAAUUCAAUUUGAAGUAAAUAAAAAAACAUAAUAUUUUGAUUCAUUUAAGAAAAGGCCAAGAAGGUCCUAAAUAGAGCUCAAGAAGAGCAAAUAAAAUGAAUUUAUUCACUAUGAUUAUUACGCCGAUUGAAAAUUUUUAUGUUUAAUCAAAUUGUCCUAAUGAUACUUUGAUUAUUGAUUAUAUGUUAUGAUUUGGCAUAAUUUCUUAAAUAUAAACAACAAGCAUAUUUAAAUGAAUUGUCAUGUAUAUGAUGGAAUUAAGUUGCUCAACCUUGAAAGAAUAAGUAUGUAUAAGCUAAUCGAGACCUGAGGUGCCCAACGUCACGGAAAUAUCUUCCAAGUACAUUAGAGAUACCCGAGAGAUUUCUAAGAAACCUACUUAGCUAAAUAAGCAAACACAAAACUACAGACAAUAUAGCCAAUCACACACCAAAUCAAGAAUACCAUUAUAGCCAAGUAUAAAAGAAAAAGGAAUUUGCAAGGACAACUUUGAAACAAUUAGUUACCUUGGUAAGAUAAGGCAUAAUAGGAAAAUAAGAAAAAGAGUUUCGAGUCAGAAUCAACAAAGAACAACUAAGUGGAAAGUUGCACAAGAGUGAUCUUUUGCAAACAAAUUAUCUCCAUCAUCAUCGUUUUGAGCAGCAGGAUAAGCAGAGGUCGAAGAAGCAUGAGGAUCAAUUGCAGUGGUAUCCAACAAGAGUUUUGGUUAGGAUAAACUAGUUGACAUUUUUGGGUUAUCAAAUUGGGGCAUGCAGGACUCCUACUUGGCCUCGAUCGCUACCGAGAUAGCAAAUUUGUCUACCAAUUUCUCCACUUUAUGAGGCAUAUUAGCAUUGGAUCUAUACUUUAAACCUCAAUCAUUGUGUGAGCAAAGGCACUGUCCGUCAUUUCCUUCUGCUAAGAUAGAAAUUCUCUAUACUUAGCCUGCAGCUCCUCAACAUUUUUGGUCACCUGAGUUCUGUCCCCGGAUAGGUCAUUGAGGCCUCAUUUCAAGGCUUUAUUUUCUUAAGCAAGCUUAUCUUUCAUGUGACUUAUGGCUUUAAAGUUCACUUCUCAGCUUCGCCACAUUCGUCUGAGUAAUGAAACUGGCACUAAAGUCUUGAAGGUCGUGACUUAGGAAGAAUGUUGCCUAUAACUAACCAAAAUAAAAUAAAAUAAAAGGGAAGAAGAGCUAGAAUUGGAGAAACACUCAUAUCUUGACAGGCUUUGAGUACUUGGUUAUAGUGUUCACUUAAGCCAAACCUAUCCGUCUUUGUCGCAACCUUAAGGAUAAUAUUCCCAGUAAAAUAAUGUAUAAAUCCAGCCAAUUGCGAGACUUUUUCAUUUGCCACUAGAUUUAAUUUCCUUCAACGAAAUUCCUAUGCAAAGAGAAUAAAAACCACAAUUUUCUUUUUUAGGUAGUCGGGUAUCCUUAAAGCUGCUAAGGGAGGCACUUUGUGGCCUAGUUGUUACUCCAGAAAAGCGAGGAAGUCGAAUACCCUUAGUAGGAGUGUACUCAGACCAUUAGAGGAAGAGCUACUCAUUCGAUUAAAAUAGGAGUCAAAAUCUUAGGUAGAUGGGUUCAUGUUUGCCAACCAUCAAGCACCCAAACAAGAAAAGGUCAGCUAAGUAAACAUUGAAAUCCCAUAAGCAGAAAAAAAAAAUGAAGAGUAAGAAACAAAGAAGCUGAAAAAGCAAAACACAGGAGACUAAGAAUAUACUCGGAACACCCUUUACUCAUACAUGGCUUAUCCUCAGAGGUAGAUAGAAGGCUCUCAUCGAUCAACCCAACUUUUUCCAACCUAUCAUCACUCAAUACAUCACUCUUUCUAUAAUGUCAAAAUCCUCUAUUAGUAAUUGUUUAUUUCUCUACCUCUUGAAUGAGGCAUUUCUUCUUGAUCCACUGACAUCUAUAAGGUCAUAAGAAGCCCAAGUAAGAAGAAUAGUUAAAUAAAUAAAUCGAGAAAAAAAAACACGUAUUGUCUUUAUUGAACGAAUUUCAAACCUUCACAUUCUCACCACCAACUAGGAUAUCCUACUCCUACUCACCAUCAACCACAAAUCAACCAUGUUUUUACUAUUUUUUUAAGGUAGGUCCAUUUUCAUUAGUUAAUGUAGGUGGCCCAAGUGGAAAAGCAGCCAUUGCACAAACCUUUGGGCUUCUUUAGCUAAUAAGUCCCUCUUAACUCUUGAAGGAAAAUAUAUUUUCAAAACAUUUCUGAUCAUAACACCUAUAGGCUAGAAAAAACUCUCCAACUAAAUAAGGAUAACUAAUUUAUGCCGAAGCGAAGGUAGCUAAUAAUCUUUCUUAAAAAGAGUUAGAGGGAUAAGCAGAGUCCCAGGUAAAAAAAGUCAAUGUGAAAUGCUAUCUCAUAUAUCUCAGGACGCUUUAAUAUUUCAUUUUUAUUGGGUACCCAAAGAUGAACUGAAGAGGGAAUGUUGUGCUAGGUUUUAAUAUGUUUAAGAUCUCAUAGGGGUAAUCUUUCUACCCCCUAAAGAGUGAGAUUUGUUGGAUUUGGAAGAAGAGAGAGAAGGAGAUUUGGGGAUAUAGAUUGAGGUUUGUAUUUUGGCCUUCCUUUUAGAUUGGCUAAUAGGGGGUUUGCCUCUGGAGUUAAUCCUCCAAGCAUGAAAGACAGCACACAACAUCUUAGGGCUGCUAUAGCUUGUACGAACGUCACAGUAAAAUUCUGAAUGAUGGCUACUACUCUCUAAACCACUCGAGGAAGACUCUUCAUCCCUACUAGUCAUUGUAUAGCGGGCAGCUUCAAAUGAAAGGCUUUAUCCACUUGAGUCAUAUGUUAAAUUAUGCUCUUUUAUGCCUAUCUUUUUCUUACUUAUCCUCCCAAAACCACAAACCUAAAAAGCAAAACCCUCAAAGCAAAACCUACAAAUCAACGCUAAAAAAAAAAUAAAAUUAAAGACUUUUUACAAGAUCUGAAACGAAAAACUAGUAUAGCAAAGCGUAUACACAUAAGAGAAAAAGAAUAAUACAAAGAAUACCUAAGAUUCUUAAAGAAGUAAGAUCCGAGUGCCAAAAACCAGAUCUAAAAGUAACUGACAAUAGUUGCCAAAAAAAAUAAAAGUAAGAUCACAAAGGAAACCAAGAAGUGCACGUGGAGAAGAGAAAGAAAGAAACAAAAUAGGUAAAGGAGCGAGACAUACCUAACAAACACUAGGAAGAAGAAUGGAGAUCGCUGCGAAAAAGCACAAUAAUAGAGAAAUUUUAGGGAUUUCAAUGGAGGAAGAAAAUUAGUGGAAAAGAAAAGGAUAAGGAAUUAAAAAAAGGGAUUGUACAAUCGGAUUAGAGGAAAGUCGAAGUUGGCACCUAUCCUGUAUCAAAAGAAGAUAAAGGGGUAUCUUGUAGUUAGGGUUAUAUACGCAUAUUAGAUGCAUACCUGACAGUUGAGAAGUGUGAUCUAUUUUAAAAUUUAAAAUGGGAGAAAGAAGUGAAACAAAAC